CGGCCGCCUCGCCAAACAGGUUUACCCGACGCGGCCGGGGCGGCGGGCGGAGGCGGCGGCGGGAGCGGGAGCGGGAGGGGCGGGGGAGGAAGGAGGAGGGAGGGGGAGGGGAGGCGAGGCCGGCGGCGGGAGCGCGCUCGCGGGGGGAGCGGGGCUGGGCGCGCGGGCGGGGUCCGCGGCGGCGGCGGCGGCGGCGCCGGGUCUGGCGGGGCCUGGGGCGGGGACCCGGGGAGGGGCCCGGAGACCUCGCCGGGCGGUGGGAACCGCGGGCGGGAGCGGGGACGAGGGCCGAGGGCGGCGCGGCCCGUGUGGCGCGGGGGCGGGCGCGGCCCCGGGGACCCUUCACUGCCACCCAGAGAAGCCGCGUCUUCCCGACGGGGAGGAGCCGGGCCCCCCGGCUGUGCCGCCGGAGCCGGAGGGGAGGCCACGCGCCCCCGCUUUCCCCGCCGCCCCCCGGUGGGGGGCGCAGAACCCUCCCACCCUCAGCCCCUCGGCCCCCAGCCUGGCUCUUUAAGUUACUACAGAAACACGGAGGUCGGGAAGCUCCCUCCCAGCCCGGAGCUUGAACUUGAACGCGGCCGGCCGCUCGCGCAGGACCACACCGCCACCUCCCGGCGCGGCCCCAGAACCCAGAUAAUCCGUUUAAAGCACUGAGAAAAUCUAAGAAGUUUUUAGUAAACUGUAGCUGGUAUCAGGGAUCAGAUCAGCGGACACGCCCAUUCCAGCAGUCAGGGGCCUGCUCGGACCGUCGUGCACCUCCGAGCGUUUCUGUCCGGUCCCUCUGGGUCCGUCUGGUUUUCGGAGGCUUUCCUGGAAAAGCCAGCCUGUGGCUACCUCCUUUCUCCCCUAAGUGAUGGAGGAUUAGAAGGCAGAGGUUGACCCACAAUCUAAAGUGCCUGGUCGCCUUUUCCCAGAUUUCCCGGAGCAUUCCUUCACCCCGUGGCAUCGGCUGUCUGCAUAUGGGUGCAAGGCCCUGUUCCGGGCGGAGAAUAAACAGGAGUUCUGACUGACAGGAGCUCCGCAGCCAG
rnacentral:lncRNA from 1 species